UACGAAGGGGGCUAGCGUUGUUCGGAAUUACUGGGCGCAAAGCGCGUGUAGGCGGGCCGUUAAGUCGGGGGUGAAAGCCCAGAGCUCAACUCUGGAAUUGCCUUCGAUACUGGCGGCCUGGAGCAUGAUAGAGGCGAGUGGAAAUGCGAGUGUAGAGGUGAAAUUAGUAGAUAUUCGCAGGAACACCAGUGGCGAAGGCGACUCGCUGGAACAUUGCUGACGCUGAGACGCGAAAGCGUGGGGAGCAAACAGG
rnacentral:rRNA from 1 species